AUGCUUGUGGACAAAUUCUAUCUAGCGGAUUUUUCUAGUCAAGAGCAGGCUCGCCUGGAGUCACAACUUCCACACUAUCAGUUAGAUGUUUGCAACCAUCCAGAGCUGAAUUCUUCGUCAUCACUGGCUGAUUUGACCAUUGCAUUGCAUAAAACGGGUAAAGCCUCUGUGUAUCCAAUGGUUUAUAGAUUAUUGCGCUUGGUCAUCACUCUCCCGGUGUCAACUGCAACUGCGGAGAGGGCUUUUCUAGCAAUGAAGAUUAUCAAGAUGCGUCUCCGAAGUAAAAUGGGUGACGAUUUUCUUCGACCUUACAUGGUUGUAUACAUUGGGAAGGAAAUAGCUGCAAAGUUCAAUGUUAAUGAGAUUAUUGAUUUGUUUGAUCGACCGGCUGGGGGCGUAGAUCUACAUUCAAACUAG
rnacentral:rRNA from 1 species